GGCAGAGUGGCCCAGUGGUCGCGGCACUGGUCUAUGACUCGGUAGACCAGGGUUCAGUUCCCUGCUCUGCCA
rnacentral:tRNA from 1 species